GCAGUGGGAGCACGCUUAGGCGUGUGACUGCGUACCUUUUGUAUAAUGGGUCAGCGACUUAUAUUCUGUAGCAAGGUUAACCGAAUAGGGGAGCCGAAGGGAAACCGAGUCUUAACUGGGCGUUAAGUUGCAGGGUAUAGACCCGAAACCCGGUGAUCUAGCCAUGGGCAGGUUGAAGGUUGGGUAACACUAACUGGAGGACCGAACCGACUAAUGUUGAAAAAUUAGCGGAUGACUUGUGGCUGGGGGUGAAAGGCCAAUCAAACCGGGAGAUAGCUGGUUCUCCCCGAAAGCUAUUUAGGUAGCGCCUCGUGAAUUCAUCUCCGGGGGUAGAGCACUGUUUCGGCAAGGGGGUCAUCCCGACUUACCAACCCGAUGCAAACUGCGAAUACCGGAGAAUGUUAUCACGGGAGACACACGGCGGGUGCUAACGUCCGUCGUGAAGAGGGAAACAACCCAGACCGCCAGCUAAGGUCCCAAAGUCAUGGUUAAGUGGGAAACGAUGUGGGAAGGCCCAGACAGCCAGGAUGUUGGCUUAGAAGCAGCCAUCAUUUAAAGAAAGCGUAAUAGCUCACUGGUCGAGUCGGCCUGCGCGGAAGAUGUAACGGGGCUAAACCAUG
rnacentral:rRNA from 1 species